rnacentral:sRNA from 1 species
AGCAAGUGGUUCUUUUGACAAAUGUGUACACAUCUGGAACACGCAGUUGUCUCCGAAGGAGCUAUAUAUGAGCAGUAAAAGUCAAAGGACCAGAUUUUAU